rnacentral:sRNA from 1 species
CGCCCGCGCGCCCCAGGAGCCUACCCAGCACGCGCUCCGCGCCCACUGCUUCCCUCCCGCCGCCGCCGUCCAGCCGAGUCCCCACUCCGGAGUCGCCGCUGCCGCGGGGACAUGGUCCUCUGCGUUCAGGGGUAAGCGCGGCUCUCUGCCCCCUCCCAGCCACCAUGAGGGGCGCACGGGAGAACAGGGGCUUCGUGCUAGCUGCCGGGCAUUGGGAGGGCUUGACGGGCCAGAGGUGACUGAGCGCAGACGGACCUCAGGAGCGAGGCUCUGUGUGGGGCUGUGACACUCCCACGCCCCGCCCCCACACACUCACCUCAAUUCCCACUGUGGAUUGGGAAACCGGGGGCUGGCCGGCUAAAGGAGGAACUCACAGGGUGGGCUCAGCCUGGGUUCUCACUGGAGCAGAUGGAUGCUAACGGCAGGGCGUCCCCCAAGAUGUGGCCAACAAUCCCAGAUAUUCUUCUGGGCCCAGAGCACUCUACGUUAGCCUGCCUGCUGCCCUGCCUGCUAGUAACCUUGGACCAGCCCCUGGCCCCCUCUGUCCUGGUGUCCCCUCUCCUGCCCCAGGCUAGCAAGUAGGCUCUUCUUGGGAAGCCAGCCGGAGAUCCUUGCCUUUCCUCAGGCUGGCACCUGAUGGUCAGCAACUCUCGGGAGGCCCUGGGUUUGGCCUGGUCCUGCUUGGGGUACCCCCACAAUCGUCUCACAACCCUGUCUCAGCCCAGUCUGGGAUCCCAAUGUGAGAAGGACCUUGGCUCCUGCCUCUCAUCUUCAAAUUUCCCAGACUUGAGGUAGGGGACAGUGGAGAGGGGAUGCUGAUAAGACAGAGUCUUGACCUGAGCUGAGCAUUCCUGGCCAUCCACUCUGUCCUGAACCUCAGCAACCCCUUCAACCAAAGGGUCUGAUGCUGGCCUGGUGAUCUGACAGGAGCUCAGGAAGCUCCAAGGAGAGAGGAAGAAGGUAUAAAUGGGUGUUCUGCACUCAGGGAGGACUGGGUGGCUGUGCUUAUCACAACUGGCCUGGUGCCAAGUCAGGGAGGGUGGAAGGUGAGGCCAAGAAAGAGGACAUGGAGGUGCUGGGAAAACUACUUCUCCCUUGCUGUCUCCAGCAAAUUCCUUCCUCCUGUCUGCAUUCUGGGACUCCUGAAUACCUGCCCCUCUACUGCCUUCCACCCCAGGAGCCUCCCCCUGCAUUCUGGGGUCCCAUAGCCUCUUUCACUUUUUACCCUAGGUGAGCACCUCCUUGUAAGCUCAGGGCCACUGUUGGGUGUUGGGGAACAAAGUUUUUAACACACUGCUGUGCUCCAAAGCAGGCACACACAUGUACCUAGAACACACCAGCCACUGUCCCUACCAUGAUGAUGACACAGCCAUGGACACACCCCUGCCCAGGUACACACUCACCAGGAGCUUGUGGCGAUCAACACAGCUAUUCAUACACCCAGCUACCACAUCAGCCCCAGAGGUGCCCACACCUACAUGUGGGAUCUGAGGACCGGCUAAGCUAUCUGGACGUGGCCACCCACAGAGGUUCCAGCCUGACUGGCUAGCCACCAACCUUGCUCCUGGGAAGGUAGCUCUGGGCCCCAGCAGGCAGGUCAUCUCAAAAUUUGGCCUCCAGCUCUCCAAGAGGGAUUUCUGAGCUCCCACAGUACAGCCAGGGUAGGUGUGGAAAAGUUUUUGGCAGGCUGUGGUGUGCCAGAGUUGUGUGGCCCUUUCUCACUGUGAGUGGUCAUAGGGCCAUGAUUUGUUAGAACCUAGAGGGCCACCUAUAACCUACACAGGAGUCAGGUCUGGCUCCUGCCACCAGCUCCUGCCUACCCCUUCCUGCCUCACAAGCAAUACUGGUGCUGUUUGCCCAUGCUGUCCUCUCUACCUGGGGUCCCUUCCCCCAGCUCCUUCCUUUGGCCUGGAAGACUCAGCUCAGGAGCAAGCAGACCCUGACUCCCCCAUGACACCUGCAGUUUUAUGACUUUGCAUUAUAAUUACUCUUAGUGUCAUCUUCCCCAGCCAGUCUGGUUCUCCUUGAGGGCAAGGCCAUGGUUUCAUUAUCGCAGUGUCCUGAGGCCCAGCCAGGGACUAGACCCAGAACUAAGGCUUGGAGAUGUAUUUUGCAAGGAGUGAGGGAGGAGCAGCAGUCUUCCUGGGGAAGUAGAGUCAGUCCCUGCUGCCCUCCCAAGGAGGAAGCCCUAGUAUCACCCUGCUGGGUGGGCUUCCCCUAGGAGAAAGCUGCUACUCAGAUUUUGGUCGGCUCAGUUCCCCCAACCCCAGCCAUCCAAGAAUAUGGUGUUACUGAACCUCUCAGUGUAUGGGUUGGUGGGACCCUUUAUUGCGGAAAAGAGAAACUGAAGCCCAGUGAAGAGCAAGCUUUGUAUAAGAUCAUAGAGCCUGGUAGGGCUGGCUUGCCAGGGUGGGAUCUGGAGUGUGGGUUAGGUCCCUGCCCUUUGGUGGGAGCUCAUACUGACAGGAGGUGAGACUUGCCAGUGCCUUUAGAGGCCACUGUCCACCCCAGACCCUCCACUGGGAGAAGCAGAGGCCAGGAUAGGCUGACUUGUAUGGGUAGGGGAUUAUUUCAGUCUCUAAGUCCUGGCCAGUGUGGACCUAGGUCCCUCUGAGAGACAUUCCUAUCCAUGGGGAGGUAGCAUGUGACCUCAGGCAGCCUACCAUAAUCCUGGGGCUUCUCUGGAGGACCCCACACAGAUCUAUCGUAGGAUAAAUCUACCUGUCUAUUGUAGACCUAUCUCUCAACUAGGACCGUUCAUCAGUGGGCCAUUUAAUCAGCCCACCUCAGCCAGGAGGGCACAAACAUGAAGCUACUUUGCACUGAAUCCUUUGCACUGAAUCCAAUCCAGUGUGGUGAGAACAUUAGAAAUGCCUAUAGGGAAUGAUCUGUGUUUUUGGUUGAUAUAAAAUAGUGAUUAAUUACUGUUUAGUAAAUGCAGGGCAGUGGAAAAGAAUCUUUCAAAAGAGGAUCCCCACAUGGAAACAAUCAAGGUGGCUUUUGUGAUGACAAGUGGGGAACGAGAUACUGGACUAACUGAGCCCAUGGCUGGGUAGAGGGGAAGCUGAGGCUCAUAGUGAGAUGGGCCAGCCAGAGGUCAUAAAACUAGUCUGGGGCAUAGGGGGGUCUCUGGAGAUGGGGGAAGCAUGGGUCCUCCACUCACUGCUCAUCCACUGCCUUCUAGACCUCGUCCUUUGCUGGCUGUGGAGCGGAGUGGGCAGCGGCCCCUGUGGGCCCCGUCCCUGGAACUGCCCGAGCCAGUCAUGCAGCCCUUGCCUGCUGGGGCCUUCCUCGAGGAGGUGGCAGAGGGUACCCCAGCCCAGACAGAGAGUGAGCCAAAGGUGCUGGACCCAGAGGAGGAUCUGCUGUGCAUAGCCAAGACCUUCUCCUACCUUCGGGAAUCUGGCUGGUAUUGGGGUUCCAUUACGGCCAGCGAGGCCCGGCAACACCUGCAGAAGAUGCCAGAAGGCACAUUCUUAGUACGUGACAGCACCCACCCCAGCUACCUGUUCACGCUGUCAGUGAAAACCACUCGUGGCCCCACCAAUGUGCGCAUUGAGUAUGCCGACUCCAGCUUCCGUCUGGACUCCAACUGCUUGUCCAGGCCACGCAUCCUGGCCUUUCCGGAUGUGGUCAGCCUUGUGCAGCACUAUGUGGCCUCCUGCACUGCUGAUACCCGAAGCGACAGCCCUGAUCCUGCUCCCACUCCGGCCCUGCCUAUGCCUAAGGAGGAUGCGCCUAGUGACCCAGCACUGCCUGCUCCUCCACUAGCCACUGCUGUACACCUAAAACUGGUGCAGCCCUUUGUACGCAGAAGCAGUGCCCGCAGCCUGCAACACCUGUGCCGCCUUGUCAUCAACCGUCUGGUGGCCGACGUGGACUGCCUGCCACUGCCCCGGCGCAUGGCCGACUACCUCCGGCAGUACCCCUUCCAGCUCUGACUGUGCGGGGCAAUCUGCCCAGCCUCACCCAGUCGCACCCUGGAGGGGACAUCAGCCCCAGCUGGACUUGGGCCCCCACUGUCCCUCCUCCAGGCAUCCUGAUGCCUGCAUACCUCUGGCAGCUGGCCCAGGAAGAGCCAGCAAGAGCAAGGCAUGGGAGAGGGGAGGUGUCACACAACUUGGAGGUAAAUGCCCCCAGGCCGCAUGUGGCUUCAUUAUACUGAGCCAUGUGUCAGAGGAUGGGGAGACAGGCAGGACCUUGUCUCACCUGUGGGCUGGGCCCAGACCUCCACUCGCUUGCCUGCCCUGGCCACCUGAACUGUAUGGGCACUCUCAGCCCUGGUUUUUCAAUCCCCAGGGUCGGGUAGGACCCCUACUGGCAGCCAGCCUCUGUUUCUGGGAGGAUGACAGGCAGAGGAACUGAGAUCGACAGUGACUAGUGACCCCUUGUUGAGGGGUAAGCCAGGCUAGGGGACUGCACAAUUAUACACUAUUUAUUUAUUUAUUCUCCUUGGGGUUGGUGUCGGGGUGAGCCAACCCCACCUCUAUGCCCUGAGCCCUGGUAGUCCAGAGACCCCAACUCUGCCCUGGCUUCUCUGGUUCUUCCCUGUGGAGAGCCCAUCCUGUUGCUGGAACCAAGGCAAUCCUGGAUGUCCUGGUACUGACCCACCUGUCUGUGAAUGUGUCCACUCUCUUCUGCCCCCAGCCAUAUUUGGGGAGAAUGGACAACUACAAUAGAUAAGAAAAUGCAGCUGGAGCCUCAGUCCCCAGCAGAGCCUGUGUCUCACCCCCUCACAAGACAGAGCUGUAUCUGCAUAGAGCUGGUCUCACUGUGGCGCAGGCCCGGAGGGAGUGCCUGUGCUGUCAGAAAGAGGGGGUGCUGGUUUGAGGGCCGCCGAUGCAGUUCUGCUAGGUCUGCUUCCUGCCCAGGAAGGUGCCUGCACAUGAGAGGAAAGAAAUACACAUCUGAUAAGACUUCAUGAAAUAAUAAUUAUAACGAAGAACAGUUUGGUGGUCUUUUCUCUUCCACUGAUUUUUCUGUAAUGACAUUAUACCUUUAUAACCUCUUUAUUUUAUUACCUCUAUAAUAAAAUAAUACCUUUCAUGU